GGGUGGUAAAUGGGGAGGCCUAGCAGCCGCCGCCGGUAUCUUUUGCUCUGGACCAGGUGGCGGGAUCUAGGGUUCUGUUGUCACCGCGCUAGGGAGCGGUCAGGCUGGGCGGUGGAGCCGGGCUCGGGGGUUGCAGUAGAUGAGACACCGCUGCUGGUUGCCAGACUUGGUGUAGAAGGUAAAGCACAGUGAAAUAAUUCAAGAUGGUCCCUAAUAUAAACUGGAAAGAAAUCAUGAAAGUUGACCCAGAUGACCUUUCUUGUCAAGAAGAAUUGGCAGAUAAUUUAUUCAUUUCCUUAUCUAAGGUGGAAGUAAAUGAGCUAAAAAAUGAAAGUCAAGAAAAUGUGAUACACGUUUUCAGAAUUACUCAGUCACUAAUGAAGUUGUUUAGAUGAAAGCUCAAGAGGUAGAGCUAGCUUUAGAAGAAGUUGAAAAGGCUGGAGAAGAGCAAGCAAAAUUUGAAAACCAAUUAAAAACUAAAGUAAUGAAACUGGAAAAUGAACUAGAGAUGAGGAAACGGAGGCACAGAAAGCCUAAAGCACUGAACCUGAUUACUUUUAUUCUGAUGGCUCUCUUCUGCUCAAUAUGAGUGCUGUUUCAAAGACUCCAAGGACAUCAGACCCUUGCCCAGCAACUCACGGCUCUCCUGCGUUUAAGGGCACCAAGGCCAUUCUGAGAAUGCUCUUCUAAGACAUACAGCCAUGUGCUGGUGCAGCCAACAUGGAAGUGAACUCUCUCACUGUGGACAUUGACAAUAAAUCCUAUCAGAAGGACCCAACAGAAUACCCUAGAAGAGGGUACCUAGGCCUCAACAAUCAGAAAUCACUGGUUCAUUAGUGCUACAGUCCAGCUUGAACCAAAGAAAUGUUUAUUCUAAUGGGAAACACUUAGCAACAAAUUCAUCCAGCAAUUAUUUAUUGUCUUAUUAGGUGCUAGCACUGUACUAGACACAGAAAAGGAUAGGAAACAAAGCCACCUCCCGUUUCAAGAUUUGUACAAGUCAGAAGGAAUAACAACAGGUAGACUGGCUAAAGUUCACAAAACAAGAGAAUUAACUCAAAAUAUGUAUGCAGACAUUUAACCAGAAAAUUGCAGAACAUAGAAGAGAAAUGUGUUAGCUGAAGAGAAAUUAGGAUCUAGAAUCCAUGUGGGCUAGGGCAGUCAGGGAGAGAAGAAUUUAGGAGAUGAAUGGGAGAAAUUAUUGAGGCCACUAGGAGGAAUUUUGAGUCCUUUUAAAGAUUCCAGACAUUUCACUGGAAAAGGUAGCAUCUGGCUAUAUUACUGCCAGAGGCCAUUGUCCUCCUGUGAGGCUGAAAGGCCUUGCCAUCUGCUGGAUGAUACUAAUGCUAAUACAGGAGCCAUUUGCUUAUUAUGACUUCUGCCCAGGAGGGAUGGAUUUACCCACAAAUCUAAUAGCACCUGGAAUGGAGUAAGAUAUGUUCUUGGAAAUCUCCCAGGCUGAAGUCUGACUGCUCUUAAGAGCUCUUCAUGAGAUAGUAGGCAAGAGUUGCUUAGGGAUCAUUUAUCAAUAAUUGGUGUGUUGGGAGAAGUACAAAACUUCUUUGGCAGAAGGAGGUAAACUAGGAAGAAUCUGAGAACCCCAGGGCCCUAAUUACCCUUCCCUUUCAUCCACCCUGCUUUCCCAGACCUACAAAAGGCCUCCGGUCUUCAAUGGUGAAAGAGUCACUUCUGAAGGGAGGAGAGAAAAAGAGGGAAGCAUUCUGGUAAAGGCCCCACUCUUCUUUCUGAGUUAGAAUUUCUUCUCUAGAUCGUAUUAUAGAAGUGGGGACAAUGUUUCCAACGGGCUGUGUUAAAAUAUUUUCUGUGACAGAGAAUGGAGGCUCCAGGAGCCCUUUUGCCGUCUCAUUGGCAAAGAUUAUUAUUUCCGUGACACUCUGGAAAGACCGGUGCAUCUGGGGUGAUAGGAAAGGGAGGGCCAGACGUGGUGGAGUGCCCCCUCAUGGUUCCAGCCAUUUGGAAUAACCAGAGCACACCUCUAUCUUUCUGAUGAAUCAAAACUUUUCUCCCAGUAAUAAUAUUGAUUCUUUGCUACUGAAAUUGCAAAUACUUUUAUCCCAUUUGCUACUAGCUUCUAGUUCUGCUUAUGACCGUUUUUACUUACCAACGGAUUUUCAAAUAGCCAGCUCUACCAGCCUUGGCCUCUAUAGUUUCUACCUUUGGGUUGUACAUAAAGAAGCCUUCAAUAUCCAAUAUUAUAAAUCUAUAUUUCUUCUAA